rnacentral:sRNA from 1 species
CAAACAAUCAAUCAGGUUUAUAAAUUAUUUAUAAAAAACUACUUAGAAUACCUACAACAUACUCACAUAUAUAGAAAGUAAAUACAGCUGCUGUGGAGACUUCGCGUAAACCAGAACAAGUUUAAGGACAACGCUAGAGAAGUAAGCAACAAUAUUCUAGGAACUACGAAAACAACUUUGCAACUUGAAGGCUGAAAAAAACAUUUUGAUAAUCCCCAAAAAAUAAAAACAAAAAACACACAAAAAAUAUAUAUAUAUGCAACAAGUGUAAAGAAGAAGAGACUGAUUUUUACAAGAAGAACAAGUUAAGGAAGCUGAAGAGCAGCGAGUUUACUAACUAGAGGCAGAUUUAGAGGCAACAACGCAAAGUGAUUCAGGAUCAAAUCCAAUAAGCAGACAGAAAUAUAUAUACAAAUAUAUAUUCACAUAUAUAUAUAUAUAUAGAACUUAGAUUGGCCAACAUGCUGAAGAAACUGAAGUGCAUGGAGGCCGCAGCAGCAGCAGCUGCUGCCGCUGCCGCCGCUGCCAGCAGCAAUGCCAAGCACAUCAAGACGGAGCCC